rnacentral:rRNA from 1 species
AGCGAACGCUGGCGGCAGGCUUAACACAUGCAAGUCGAACGGGCGUAGCAAUACGUCAGUGGCAGACGGGUGAGUAACGCGUGGGAACGUACCUUUUGGUUCGGAACAACACAGGGAAACUUGUGCUAAUACCGGAUAAGCCCUUACGGGGAAAGAUUUAUCGCCGAAAGAUCGGCCCGCGUCUGAUUAGCUUGUUGGUGAGGUAAUGGCUCACCAAGGCGACGAUCAGUAGCUGGUCUGAGAGGAUGAUCAGCCACACUGGGACUGAGACACGGCCCAGACUCCUACGGGAGGCAGCAGUGGGGAAUAUUGGACAAUGGGCGAAAGCCUGAUCCAGCCAUGCCGCGUGAGUGAUGAAGGCCCUAGGGUUGUAAAGCUC